rnacentral:lncRNA from 1 species
AGGAUAGUACCAAAGGAGUACUUACUGUUACAAUAACUUUUUUUUCUUUCUUUCUAUGUUGUGUGCUAUAGGUGCACUUUUGGAAAGACAACUCCAGAUGAAAUUCAAAUGAACAGAAGAGAAGGGGACUAACGCAAGAGAAAGGGGCCGUGACUUCCAUAAAAUCAGCCAGCAGCUCAGUGACACAGGAUACUAGAACUUACUCCAUUUGGAAAAUCUCCGGAAGAUUGAACCUGUAGUACAGGUAGGAAAAGUUGGCAUUGCCAAUGAAUUUUGCUUAGCCACAAUGUUAACAUGUCCAUGUUUUCUAA